AAUAGUCUUUUUCAUCUGUCUUCUACUGCUGUUAUUUACUGCUUUAAGCAUGGACUGAUGGAUUUAUCCAGACGUGUUUUUUGCCCAGGGAAAGAAAAUUUUGGGGCUUGCAUGAUGCCAGGUGUCUCAGCUACUGCUGGUAGGUUCCUGUGCUUUGGUUUCUCACAAGGGAGCCUCCCUGCCUCUGGCACACAGAGGUUGCAGAUGUACAUCUGUGUGUUUCUCAGGGCUCUCACAGAAGAACUUCCAGCGUGACAGCUGAGUGGCAUCCACCAGAGCCUACAUAAAACUGCAAGCCUGGGUAGCUCUUAAACUACCAGAAAGGAGCAGUUUGCUUUUCUUUGGCACCUGCUGCUGCUGCACUCCAGCAGUCCUGCGUGGCAGGCCAGAAUCCAUUCACCACGGUGCGCUGCUGCGAGCGUGUGUUGUGGAUCGCAGCGUUCCCAGCAGUUCUGGCUGCCGUCGUCAGUGUUAGGCCUGCUGGUCUCCUCACAUGCUUUCAACUGUUUUAUUGUAAUUCAUCCUCACAUCCUGUUUGUUGCCUGCUAUUUUUCUGCUGUUGCAGCUGUUUUUUCCAUUCUUUCCAGUCCACCCAGUUUUGCAGUCCAGCUGUCCCUCCCAGCUGCCAUGGACUCCACCAUCUCCCAAAUUCCUCCCUUUCUGCUGCUGCAGGGGCAUCACCCACAGCCUCACUCUCCCUCUGCAGGAAAUAACUAUCAUUCCUGCUCUACUGCACACCAUGGCUAUUGGAGGACAUUAGUUAAAUAACUGAAUUGUCUUGAGACUGAGCACAAUGUAAGGAUUGCAGCAUGAUUGUAUUUCUUCUGAGCAAUCAACUUUGUGUAAUGGCAAACUCCAUCCAAAGCUGGAUCCUAGGAAAAAGCUGUGUCAGAGUUUUAAGUACAUAAUGUUACUCUGGUCUAGUGCAGCACUAUGCAGGAGCUUCACACUUCUGUGAAAUAGUCCCUCAGAAGGGAAAGUUUGGCCCAGGAAUAUUGUGUCUGGAUGGUAAUCUCUCUUGAGAAAUCAGUUUCCUUUUCUGCUGAUUACAAACUCUUGCAUUCUGAGAUUCACAUUCCUGUUUCUGGAAGAAAAUCCAUGACCCCAGAUAAUUAAUUUGCUUUAACAGUCAACAGGAAAAUGGAGCUGCCAUUUAUCUUUCAGCUUGACUUUGUGUACAGACUCAAGCAAUUAUAUCUCCAUCUUUUAGUUAAUUUUAUCUGCUACAGACUCAGUUAAAUUUGCUUGCAGAUUUCAGUUAUUUCCUGAAAAUCUGCAGGAUAUGAGCAAUUGCUGUUUAUAUAUUAAUCACUGAAAUGUUUUAUCCUGACUUCCUAAGGAAAUAAAGCUUACAUGAGCAAUC